UACAGAGGUCUCAAGCGUUGUUCGGAUUCAUUGGGCGUAAAGGGUGCGUAGGUGGCGCCGUAAGUCGGGUGUGAAAUUUCGGAGCUUAACUCCGAAACUGCAUUCGAUACUGCGGUGCUUGAGGACUGGAGAGGAGACUGGAAUUCCGGGUGUAGCGGUGAAAUGCGUAGAUAUCCGGAGGAACACCAGUGGCGCAGGCGGCUCUCUGGGUCGGCCCUGACGCUGAGGCACGAAAGCGUGGGGAGCGAACGGG
rnacentral:rRNA from 1 species